CUGAUGCAUGGAAAAACUGAUGUCAGAACAUGAACACAAAUAGAGUGUACAUAUAUUCAGUGGCAUAGCAACCUUGGGUUCUCACUAAAUGGGGAGUACGUGGGGAACCGGGUAUGUGGAUGUUGAUGAGGGAACCAUUUCAGAUGCUGGUACAUGGAACCCCCCCCACACACACACAUACAAACUUUGCUUCAUAACUGCAUUAAUCAGAACUGGCAAUCUGUUUUUAUGUCCGUGCAACAGUAGGCCUUUUCACCAUUACCAGUUAAUUUCCGUACUUGGUUAUACAGCAGCUUCCUUUAGCGAGGACAUCUGUGCAUGUGAUCUACAUGUAAUUGCAGUGACGUUGAAUUCCAAACAUGGAGAACAACUAUCUGUGGCUUUCACUUCAACAACAGCAUGACGGAUACAUAUACACACGAAACAAAUUAGGAAAUUGAAAUAUUCAGCUUAUAUCAUGUAACAUGUAAAGAAUAAAACACCAUGAACCAGUAAUAAUAUGGUUUUUGUCUUCUGGGGGAAUAACAAUGAAAUAUACACAUUGGGUGUUUUGCAAACAUGAAGGAAGAAACUAUUUAAGGGUUUUUUCCCUGAAGUUUAUCAUAUAAAAACCCGCCAACAUCUUUUCUGUUCUGAAGUUUUGCAGACACUUCGAAUGACAUGGGAACCGGUUGAAAAUAUCGGGAUCUUCUGAAUGCUGAAAACUUUGCACUAUUCUUCCGAAACCACCGAGUUUGAACAAUUUCUGCAGUUGAGUGUCUUUCAACGAAUUAUACCAGGUAUCCUUCAUGUUGCUGCUGGAGUGAAAGCUAGAGAAAAAUCUGUUUUCCUUGUUAGUUCAGAACAUUGGAAUUCAACGUCACUGCAGUUACAUGGUCAGAGACGUGGGUACCCACAAUAAAGGAAGCUGUUGUGUUUAUAACUAAGCAAGGAAAUUCACAGAUGUUCAUCCGCACACGAGAGGAGUUUUCAUUCAUGUUAGAUGUCACUGGUUUCAAAGAUGCCUGCAGUCGUAGCAAAAGGACAAAGCCACAGAACAGUGAGAAGAGCUUCAUCAAAGUACUCGUAACAAGACUGUGCAAAAUCUGCAAUCGACAGGAAGUCGAUUAACUUAUAUUCAUCUGCAGAGACACGAAGGCAGUCUUCAUACGUGUUAGAUGUCCCCGGUAUCAUUGAGGGAAAUGCAGGUUGAACUAGGACUGAUCCACAGAAUGGUGAGAACUGCUACAUCAAAGUACACAUAACAAGAUUAUCUGAAAACCUGCAAUUGACAGAAAGUGAGAUUUACUUGUAUGUGUACAGUAACCGCUACAACUUAUUGAAAGACAUUUGCAGAAUAUUUUCAAACUAGUUUCGGAAGAAAAGUGCAAACUUUUCAGCACUCAUAAGAUCCCAAUGUUUUAAUUGAUGAGAUCUCGGCGGCUAAGUAUUCCAAAGUUCUUGCACUAACAAAGCUAAUAGCCAGGACCUGAUACGGUCCUUGCUAUUAGCUUUGUUAGUGUCCAGGGUUUGAAGAGGCUUAAGAGCACCUCUGAGAUUACAAUCAUGUAAUCAAUUGCUGAAUAGUCUGGGGUAUCAAAUGAGGGAAGGUUAGUGGUAUCUUCAAAAGUAUAAAAACAGAGCAAAAUUGCUCAUUAAAGAUGGUGGCCUUACUUUUACUAUCAAAGAUCCCCUUACACCCUUGUUUUAAUAGGCAGACAGCAGUGAAAUAAUGCUUCUUGGAUUUUAUGAAUCUCCAGAAGGCUUCGUUAGAUUUGUCUUCUCGAUUAUUCAGCAUCUUGGUUUGAAAGGACCAAAAGUUCUGGCAAAUUUUCUUUUGUGUUGUUUUCCUGUAUUCUUUUAAUACAUUCCAGUCACUGGAUCUCUGAGUUGCCUUCGCGUUGUUGUACAGUCUACGUUUUGCCUAACAUAUUCUACGAAUUCCUCAAAUAAUCCAUGGGUCAGAGUGCUUGGCUCAGGACUUUUUUGAUGGAACAGGUUUUACCAAACGCUCAUGAAGUUUGUUAGUAAACAUUUCCCAGUUUAAAUUAACUGAAUCUUGAGGUUACAUUGCUUCUCAGAAAGACUGCUGGAAAUCAGCCAUUCUGUUCUUCAUGCUGGACAAGUCCGCUUUGUCAUACAUGAACACCUUCCGUAGGAUCUUCCGAUUGAAUUUUGGCUUAAAAUUAAGGCGAUUAAGUAAAGGUGAUUGCCUCAUGGAUACUUAUAUCUAGAACCAAGUUACCAGUAGGGUUCCCAUUCAGGUAGCUUGACUUGGACACCGGCAGUAGCUGGAUCAUUGGUGCUGUCAGCGUCUUGCCUGCCCGUGGUGGUAUGGUCAACAGAGAGCCCGGCAUGUUGUUGUUGUUUUGUUUUGUUUUGUUUUAAAGGCGCUUUCAGAACCUCGGGCUAUUUACGCCAAUAACUGUACGUUUAUUCACACACUUUAUUAAUCAGCAUCACAUUACCGAGUUAGGAAGAAGGUCCAGUUUUAGAGGCAGGAGGAAACUGGAGUUCCAAGAGAAAACCUGCGAGAGCGAGUAUGUACUGGAAACCAAAUGUACUUAAAUCUGGGGCCAAGCGGGGACUCGAACCCAGGCCUCAUUAGUGCACGCGAGGAAAGAACCGCUACGCUAACC